rnacentral:rRNA from 1 species
CCUACGGGAGGCAGCAGUGAGGAAUAUUGGGCAAUGGGCGAAAGCCUGACCCAGCCACGCCGCGUGAGUGAUGAAGGCCUUCGGGUCGUAAAGCUCUGUGGGGAGGGACGAACAAGUGCGUACCUAAUACGUACGUGCCCUGACGGUACCUCCUUAGCAAGCACCGGCUAACCAUGUGCCAGCAGCCGCGGUAAU